UCUCCCUCGAAAAGGAAAAUAAAAAUUAGUAGUCUCUACAAACUUGUAGUGCGGUCUCUCUCUGUCCAUCGUCGGGUACUGUGGUCUGCAGACAGGGCUAAGCAUUCCAACGGUGCGUUUCAGAAAUUACCAGGGCUAAGUUUUGAAGGAUAAUGGCUUCUCAGUUACAGAUUCAAGGCGAUGAAUCCGUACUUUUACGGGUUACUCACUCCAAUAUGAAGAGCUUUUCUCCAGAAAUCCGUUUUUCUCUUCAGAUGUCAGUGGAAGCCGUGAAAGAUAAGCUUUGGAAAAAGUGUGGUACUUCAGUCAAUUCGAUGUCCUUAGAGCUAUAUGAUGAAACUGGUGCUAAAAUCUCAGUCCUAAGUGAUAAUACAAGACCACUUGGUUUUUAUUCCCCACUGGAUGGUUAUCGUCUGCAUGUCAUUGAUCUUGAUCCAGCGUCAGUGACCUCUGGAGGUUGGCUCGAGGACACAUCACUUGUUGAGAAGUAUACUAUCUCUGAAGAGGCUUAUGAGAAACUUGGAGGUACUUUCAGAAAAUUCAAGGAAACAUUGCCGCUUAAGCAACCGCCUGGUCAAGAAUCUAAAAUAUCUGACAACAAAUACAGGGAAGAUCUUUGCGCAAAUAUUAAGAUAGGGGACAGAUGUGAAGUUGAACCUGGAGAGAGAAGAGGCACGGUCAAAUUUGUUGGUCAGGCAGAAACACUUGCACCUGGGUUUUGGGUUGGAGUUCAGUUUGAUGAACCAGUAGGAAAACAUGAUGGCAUCAGGAGAGUUUUUUCUUUGAGGAAGCAUGUGCUAUUCAGGUCUUUUUUGAAUGACUUAGUUGCCACCCAGUGAAGGAUCACAUGGACUCCACUAAGGAGAGACCUUGUAUUGGCUCGUUUGACCCAAACCUUGAUUUAUAAAAUUUUGCCAUGUCAAGAUGUCCCACUUUGAACUGUAGAAUAUGUGGUUAAAGGGAAACGUUACUUUGACUGUCCUUCCCUUCAUGGUGCAAUGGUUCGACCAGACAAAGUAAAGAUUGGAGACUAUCCAGAAAAAGAUCCUUUUGAGGAUGAGGAAAUUUAAGUAUAUAGGAUUGCCAUCUGCUGUUCUUUGGGUUUUGAUCUUUUAAUAGAUAGAUAGGAGAUGCAUGUUUCAAAUAUUUAACUGAGCUCAAAAGAUGGUCAAGCCUGUAUUUGAAAGUCACAGAAAUGACUGAAGAUUUCACGUCGAUGAAGAAACCUGAGUGAAUUGAACAUUUUCCCAGCAGUUGCCGACAAGUUGUUGCACUUGUCAUGGGUGUAUUUUGGUUGUAUUUUAACGGUUGAUCAUUGUAAUCAAGUUCCCAGAUAUACAUUUAUUUCAGCGAUAGAAACUGGUUCCCACUGACUUUGAGGUCUGUGCGGUCCUGAAGCCAGAUGAAACUAGAACGAACAUUUAACCUCUCCAAUCCCAUGGUGUCUGGCAGAAAACCUCCCACUGUGACAUAACAUAACCUAUCAUAUUAUGCAACUCAAGAUCAGCAAAGAUCAAUCAAUCAAUUCAAGAUAUUGAGGAUUCAAGAUUGGGGAUAGGUAAGACUUGAAUCGAAGAAUAUGUAACAAUAGUUUUCCAAGUGUACAUUUUACUACUGAAGUGUUUAUCAAAUGUACACCUAUAAAUACUGCUGUGGCUCCCUAGAGGAAUAAAGGAUGGGUUGGGUGUCU